rnacentral:rRNA from 1 species
AAAUUGAAGAGUUUGAUCAUGGCUCAGAUUGAACGCUGGCGGCAGGCCUAACACAUGCAAGUCGAACGGUAACAGGAAGCAGCUUGCUGCUUCGCUGACGAGUGGCGGACGGGUGAGUAAUGUCUGGGAAACUGCCUGAUGGAGGGGGAUAACUACUGGAAACGGUGGCUAAUACCGCAUAACGUCGCAAGACCAAAGAGGGGGACCUUCGGGCCUCUUGCCAUCAGAUGUGCCCAGAUGGGAUUAGCUAGUUGGUGAGGUAACGGCUCACCAAGGCGACGAUCCCUAGCUGGUCUGAGAGGAUGACCAGCCACACUGGAACUGAGACACGGUCCAGACUCCUACGGGAGGCAGCAGUGGGGAAUAUUGCACAAUGGGCGCAAGCCUGAUGCAGCCAUGCCGCGUGUAUGAAGAAGGCCUUCGGGUUGUAAAGUACUUUCAGCGGGGAGGAAGGUGUUGUGGUUAAUAACCGCAGCAAUUGACGUUACCCGCAGAAGAAGCACCGGCUAACUCCGUGCCAGCAGCCGCGGUAAUACGGAGGGUGCAAGCGUUAAUCGGAAUUACUGGGCGUAAAGCGCACGCAGGCGGUCUGUCAAGUCGGAUGUGAAAUCCCCGGGCUCAACCUGGGAACUGCAUUCGAAACUGGCAGGCUUGAGUCUUGUAGAGGGGGGUAGAAUUCCAGGUGUAGCGGUGAAAUGCGUAGAGAUCUGGAGGAAUACCGGUGGCGAAGGCGGCCCCCUGGACAAAGACUGACGCUCAGGUGCGAAAGCGUGGGGAGCAAACAGGAUUAGAUACCCUGGUAGUCCACGCCGUAAACGAUGUCUACUUGGAGGUUGUGCCCUUGAGGCGUGGCUUCCGGAGCUAACGCGUUAAGUAGACCGCCUGGGGAGUACGGCCGCAAGGUUAAAACUCAAAUGAAUUGACGGGGGCCCGCACAAGCGGUGGAGCAUGUGGUUUAAUUCGAUGCAACGCGAAGAACCUUACCUGGUCUUGACAUCCACGGAAGUUUUCAGAGAUGAGAAUGUGCCUUCGGGAACCGUGAGACAGGUGCUGCAUGGCUGUCGUCAGCUCGUGUUGUGAAAUGUUGGGUUAAGUCCCGCAACGAGCGCAACCC